UACGUAGGGUGCAAGCGUUGUCCGGAAUUAUUGGGCGUAAAGAGCUCGUAGGCGGUUUGUCGCGUCGAAUGUGAAAACCCGGGGCUCAACUCCGGGCCUGCAUUCGAUACGGGCAGACUAGAGUUCGGUAGGGGAGACUGGGAAUUCCUGGUGGUAGCGGUGAAAUGCGCAGGAUAUCAGGAGGAACACCAAUGGCGAAGGCAGCUCGCUGGGACGGUACUGACGCUGAGGCGCGAAAGCGUGGGGAGCAAACAGG
rnacentral:rRNA from 1 species